UUUUCCACUCAUUUUGAACUGUAACUCAGGCUGAGGCAUCGACCUUAAAGAAGUUUCCUAGAAAUCUCAUGACAACUCAGGAUUACAUGCCUACUCCAAAGACAGCAGCACCUGGUUCAGAUCCUGGAGAUCUGAACUGCACCUCACCUGUGAACAUAACUCAGACAACCAAGGCUGCCUUUCUAUUCUAUCUUCAUUUUGGUGUCCCAUUCUAGCUAGAUUUAACUCUGUGUCAGUUAGAGGGAGUCUUCAUGUGAGAUGCACUUAGUCUUUUUGAAAAUACAUCAUGUAUUCAAGGAAUUUCAGAUCUCACCGUAGGAAGCAAACACUCAGCCAGCAUCUGAGAAGCCAUGGAGCUUCUACACCUGUUCAGAAA